rnacentral:lncRNA from 1 species
CAAAUAGUACUGAAUACUUUUUCUGUGAUAAAUUUGUUUAAAGAAACACAUCUGACACCCCUUGGAGAGAAAGUGGAGUUGAUGUAUUUUACAAGGAGGGACACAUUUUCUUUAAGCAUACAGCAAGAUGUCUGAUUGCAGAAGGUUUAACCAGAAGGACAGAAAGGCACAGAGAGACUCAUGGAUUUUGGAGUUCUACUGAGGCAGCGGUGCCACGGGGAAAGAUGCAGG